GGAAGUAAAAGUCGUAACAAGGUUUCCAUAGGUGAAACUACGGAAGGAUCAUUA
rnacentral:rRNA from 1 species